rnacentral:tRNA from 1 species
GUUAAUGUAGCUUAAACCACAAAGCGAAGCACUGAAAAUGCUUAGACGAGCUCUUUUCAGCUCCAUGAACA